rnacentral:rRNA from 1 species
UACGAAGGGGGCAAGCGUUGCUCGGAUUUAUUGGGCGUAAAGGGUGUGUAGGCGGCUUUGUAAGUUAGAUGUGAAAUCCCGGGGCUUAACCCCGGAACUGCAUUUAAGACUGCAAAGCUUGAAGUUCGAAGAGGUAAGCAGAAUUCCCAGUGUAGAGGUGAAAUUCGUAGAUAUUGGGAAGAAUACCAAUGGCGUAGGCAGCUUACUGGUCGACACUUGACGCUGAGGCACGAAAGCGUGGGGAGCAAACAGG